rnacentral:rRNA from 1 species
AAGGUGCUUCGGGUGCGACAGCGGUCUAAAUUCUUUGGAAUGAGGUUUCAUAGAGGGUGAAAGUCCCGUCUGUGACCGUUUGUCAAUCCCAUGUGAAGUCCUUUCGACGAGUCGAGUUGUUUGGGAAUGCAGCUCUAAAUGGGUGGUAAAUUUCAUCUAAAGCUAAAUACCUGCCAGAGACCGAUAGCGUACAAGUAGAGUGAUCGAAAGAUGAAAAGCACUUUGAAAAGAGAGUUAAAAAGCACGUGAAAUUGUUGAAAGGGAAGCGCUUGCAACCAGACUUGCUCGUGGGUGUUCAGCCGUCCUUCUGGUCGGUGCACUCUCCCACGAUCGGGCCAGCAUCGGUUUUGGCGGUCGGACAAAAACUUUAGGAAUGUAGCUCGCUCCGGUGAAUGUUAUAGCCUGGGGUAAAAUGCGGCCUGC